UACGAAGGGGGCUAGCGUUGUUCGGAUUUACUGGGCGUAAAGCGCACGUAGGCGGAUCGUUAAGUCGGGGGUGAAAUCCUGGAGCUCAACUCUGGAACUGCCCUUGAAACUGUAUGGCUUGAGUAUGAGAGAGGUGAGUGGAAUUCCCAGUGUAGAGGUGAAAUUCGUAGAUAUUGGGAAGAACACCGGUGGCGAAGGCGGCUCACUGGCUCAUUACUGACGCUCAGGCGCGACAGCGUGGGGAUCAAACAGG
rnacentral:rRNA from 1 species